rnacentral:rRNA from 1 species
GACGAACGCUGACGGCGUGCUUAACACAUGCAAGUCGAACGGAAAGGCCUGCAGCUUGCUGCGGGUACUCGAGUGGCGAACGGGUGAGUAACACGUGGGUGAUCUGCCUUGCACUUCGGGAUAAGCUUGGGAAACUGGGUCUAAUACCGGAUAGGACAGCUGUUUAGUGUCAGUUGUGGAAAGUUUUUUCGGUGCAAGAUGAGCUCGCGGCCUAUCAGCUUGUUGGUGGGGUAAUGGCCUACCAAGGCGUCGACGGGUAGCCGGCCUGAGAGGGUGUACGGCCACAUUGGGACUGAGAUACGGCCCAGACUCCUACGGGAGGCAGCAGUGGGGAAUAUUGCACAAUGGGCGGAAGCCUGAUGCAGCGACGCCGCGUGGGGGAUGAAGGCCUUCGGGUUGUAAACUCCUUUCGACAGGGACGAAGCUUUUGUGACGGUACCUGUAUAAGAAGCACCGGCUAACUACGUG